rnacentral:rRNA from 1 species
UACAGAGGGUGCAAGCGUUGUUCGGAUUUAUUGGGCGUAAAGCGCGUGUAGGCGGCUUUGUGUGUCGGGUGUGAACGCCCUCGGCUUAACCGAGGAAGUGCGCCCGAAACUGCAGAGCUUGAGUGCCGGAGAGGAUAGCGGAACACCCGGUGUAGAGGUGAAAUUCGUAGAUAUCGGGUAGAACACCAGUGGCGAAGGCGGCUAUCUGGACGGACACUGACGCUGAGACGCGAAAGCGUGGGGAGCAAACAGG